ensembl:snoRNA
UGUCCCUGGCCUGGGCAGAGUGGCAUCUGGCUGGUGGUGCCCAUCUCAUAUCAGUCAGGGACAAACCAACCGCUUGUUCAUCCUAGAUUGGCUUUUGGUCAGUGCCUUUGCCUGGUUCAUGCCUUGGACACGUAG